rnacentral:pre_miRNA from 1 species
UCUUAUAGACGAGCAAAGAAAGUGGUUUCUUGAGACGGAACCUACUCCUGGUGAAGACGCUGUGAA